ACGCACACCCCGCUGUUGCGGACCAGGCCGGCGGCGCACGCUACGCGAACGUCAGCGCACCCGACGUGGGCACGUCACUGCCGCCCAUUCCCGCAGGAGCGACCACUGCGCAAAGCAGGAAGAAACCUCCCAGUCUUUCACUGCAGAAAAGUGGGUUGGAGAUGAAUCACUGAAACGUCAUCCUUCCAGUCACCUCUGCUUAACUGGAAGCAUGAAUGGGAGACCUCAGGAAACUUAUAAUCAUGGCAGAAGAUGAAGGGGAAACAAGUACCUUCUUUACAUGGAGGCAGGAGAGAGAACGAAGGGUCCUGGAGGCUGAUAAGUUGAAGAUCAGACCAAUGGCAGCUUUGAUGUCUGAUAAAAGCUCCGGCUCUGCUUCCAAGAUGGCACCUGCGAUGCUGUAUCCUGCAGAAGGGAUGAAUUCUGUGUCUUCACAUGGCAGAAAGGAUGGAAAAGGACAAAAAUGGUCUAGCUUGUUUCCACCAGGUUUUUUUUUUUUUUUUGAGACAGAGUCUCGCUCUGUUGC